rnacentral:piRNA from 1 species
UAACAGGGACCUCAGAGAAACAAGGGAUGU